UGGGAUUUUCCACUGCUAUGGUCAAGGCAAUUUUUAUCUUCAGACAGUCUUUUUGUGGCCCCAAUGUGAUCAAUCAUUUUUUUUGUGACAUCUCCCCCUUGUUAAAUCUUUCUUGCACUGACAUGUCCUUUACAGAGUUGGUGGAUUUUAUCUUGGCAAUGGUAAUAAUUAUGAUUCCGCUUGUGUUUAUAAUUAUCACUUACAUGUG